UACGUAGGGUGCAAGCGUUGUCCGGAAUCAUUGGGCGUAAAGAGCGUGUAGGCGGCCCGGUAAGUCCGCUGUGAAAGUCCAGGGCUCAACCCUGGGAUGCCGGUGGAUACUGUCGGGCUCGAGUCCGGAAGAGGAGUGUGGAAUUCCUGGUGUAGCGGUGAAAUGCGCAGAUAUCAGGAGGAACACCGGUGGCGAAGGCGGAUCUCUGGGCCUUGCCUGACGCUGAGGCGCGAAAGCUAGGGGAGCGAACAGG
rnacentral:rRNA from 1 species